GUGAGGAAUAUUGGUCAAUGGGCGGGAGCCUGAACCAGCCAAGUCGCGUGAAGGAAGAAGGAUCUAUGGUUCGUAAACUUCUUUUGCAGGGGAAUAAAGUGCGGGACGUGUCCUGUUUUGUAUGUACCCUGAGAAUAAGGAUCGGCUAACUCCGUGCCAGCAGCCGCGGUAAUACGGAGGAUCCGAGCGUUAUCCGGAUUUAUUGGGUUUAAAGGGUGCGUAGGUGGUUUGAUAAGUCAGCGGUGAAAGUUUGCAGCUUAACUGUAAAAAUGCCGUUGAAACUGUCGGACUUGAGUGUAAAUGAGGUAGGCGGAAAGCGUGGUGUAGCGGUGAAAUGCAUAGAUAUCACGCAGAACUCCGAUUGCGAAGGCAGCUUACUAAGCUACAACUGACACUGAAGCACGAAAGCGUGGGGAUCAAACAGGAUUAGAUACCCUAGUAGUCC
rnacentral:rRNA from 1 species